AAAAGCUUAACGAAGACCAGACCCAUCCCGAAUGGGCGCCAUGCAGUAGUAACUAGGAAGCUCUGCACAAAGAUUUGUGAAUAUAGGCAUCCUCUGACUGCUUCUGGACCACCAUCAGAUGUCAGCACAAGGAAUGUCCACGUAACACUGCAUGAUGGUGCUGCAUCCUGCUUCAAAGCCUCCUGUGACUCCUCAUGCUGUCAGAGGGCAUUUAAAGCUCACUAGCUCAGUCCACAGGGCUUGCCCUUACUGGGCCAGUCUCGGUUCAUGGAACACAUAGGGCUCAGCUACAGAAUAUUAGCAUGCUGACUGGCGUCUUAGAGGAAAGACCCAAGCCAGAGCUUGGGCAUCGGACGGGAGCUGCUCGGGUUCCCACACGGAUCCAGCUGAAGAUUCAGCUUGCCCAUCAAGACAAUUUCAUCUCUCAAAUGAAUAAUGGCUGGGAGAUUUAUUAGAGGAGCGACAGCAUGAUAAAUGAGUUGUCUGUCAUCUUUACAUCCUUCCUCUUAUGGCAGCUGAAUGCUAUCGCUCAUUUCUUCAGAUGGAAUUCAGGUGUAAAGGAAAGAAGAAAUGAGAAGAAGUUAAAUGACUCCUUUAACAGAAAGAAGAACUUCAAGCAGCGCUUGCACACUGAUUUCUACCUAUGCUUGUAUAAAGUCCACAUAUACUAUUUUCUAUACCAUGUGAUUUUUUUGCAUUUUUUUCUGAGCCAUCAGUAUAUGCAGUCAUUUGGAAUAGAUAGGGUAAUUUGACAGGAGCCUAGCAUCACUGUCUCCUGACAGGCUUUAUCCAGCAGCUGCAUCUGCAAACAGAUGCAGAGACCCACAGCCAAACAUCAGGUGGAGCUUGGGGAGUCUUGUGCAAAA
ensembl:lincRNA Gm9871 predicted gene 9871